AUGAUCCCCACAUUCUUUUGUGUGAAGCUUUGUCUGUUAAGAGCAGGAGAUGGUGGAAUCACCCAGACACCUAGAUACUGGAUCACACAGACCUCAAGAAAGAUAAUCCUGAAGUGUUCUCAGGAUAUGAACCACUAUCGGAUGUUCUGGUAUCGGCAAGAUGCAGGACAGGGGUUGAAGCUGAUCCAUUACUCAGUAGGCACUGACAGAACUACCAAAGGAGAUGUCCCUGAAGGGUACAGUGCCUUCAGAAAUGAGAUACAGAGCUUUCCCCUGACAUUAGAGUCAACCAGCUCCAACCAGACCUCCAUGUACUUCUGUGCCAGCAGUGAACAAACACAGCACUGCACACGCAGGGCAGGUGCUGCCUGCACAAGAAGGACAACCACGAGAUUGACAUGGGGCCUCCCUCUUCGGCCCCUUCCCCAAGUAAAAGAAAAGUCUGCACUUUCUGAAACUUUUCAUGGCAGGGGAAUCUCAGCCAGAGGGACCUUGUUCAGCAUGAACCUUAGUGUGAGCUGA